CUGAAGUGCAUAUGAUCAAAAGAGUCUGUUUUGUAUGUCCAGACUCAUGAUGUGUGCCAAAUAAUGUUUCCAUCUACUUUCAGUAUGAUUAAAAUAUAAAUAUAGCUGUUUUGUUCUGGGUCACACUGACUGCUAUAAUUGGUGUUCAUUAAGUCGACAAAUGAUGUAGCAGUUUCUUGAAAUAUGAAUAAAAUAAUGAACCUAUUAAAAAUGAAAAGAUAAAUACAAUCUCUUGUGUCUGUAUUGUCAUAUAAUUAAUAUUUUAAUAUCAUGUAUUUAUUGGUAUUCAUUUGUAAUUUUCAGUGCAGGAAUCUUCUGCUAGCCAAAGAGUGGUUAAUACAAGUGUGAAGUCUAAAGGGAAGCGUACUUUGUUCCAACCAAGUGAGACGACACUUGCCCCUGCACCCAGUCAGACGACACUUGCCCCUGCACCCAGUCAGACGACACUUGCCCCUGCACCCAGUCAGACUACACAUGCCUCUGCCACUUUACCUCUAGAACAAACAGGAAAUGAAUCGAUUGAGCCAUUACCUGAGUUGUUACCUGUCACUUCAUCAGAACUUGCAGCAUCAUCUUCAGGAGACUCAGGUAUUUUAAUAUACAUGUAUAUGAACAAAUCUAACACUUGUUUUAUUACAGAAUUACUGAUGAUAGCGACAACAUUGAAUAGUUGAUGUAUCCGGGAAUCAGACUCACAAAUUCAAUGUUUCAAACUGUUCUGUGAAACCAAAGUAUAGUAAUGACCGUCUCAAGCUUGGGUUGAGAGGUGUUUUGUAAUCACUUUGUCUGUCUAUCAUUUUAUUCAUCUGUUCUUUUGUCCAUCUCACCUUUUUUUGUAACCCCAACUCCUCAUUCAUUUUUUGACGGAUUUGAUUCAAAUUUUCAGCAAUGACUGCCACUUAUGCCUAGUUGUGCAUGAACAAAAAUAGAUUUUCUUUGAACAGCUGUUCCAGAGUUAUGGGUCUUUUUUUCUUUUUGCGAUAUUCACAUAGUGCAAAAUAUUGUGACCUCCUUAUUAAUUAUUUAACGGAAUUAAAUCAGAUGUUCAGCAAUGACUACAAUUGAUCCCUAGAUGUGCAGCAACCAAAAAAAUAUGGAAUUGCUUCAGCUGUUCAAGAGUUUUGAUCUUUUAUUACCUCCUCAUUAAUUAUUUGACUGAAUUAAUUGAAAAUUUCAACAAUGACUA